GCCGAAGACCAAAUCACUCUGAAUGUGCACAAUCUUGUCAGAUCUCGGAAGCAAACCUAGGUCGAUUCUAGUUAUCACUUGGAUGGGAAGACCGCCUGGGAAUACCGGAUGUUGUAAACU
rnacentral:rRNA from 1 species